CCCUUAGAUGUCCUGGGCCGCACGCGUGCUACACUGACGCAUACAGCGAGCACUUUCCAGUUCCGAGAGGCUACUGGUAAUCAUCAAUAUGCGUCGUGAUGGGGAUAGAUCUUUGGAAUUCUGGAUCUUGAACGAGGAAUGCCUAGUAAUCGCAGGUCAUUAGCCUGCGAUGAUUAAGUCCCUGCCCUUUGUACACACCGCCCGUCGCUACUACCGAUUUCGAGUGGUCAGGUGGAUCUUUCGGACUGUGGGCGCCCUUGAGGUGUUCGCGGAAAGUCAGGUAAAUCUUAUCACUUAGAGGAAGUAAAAGUCGUAACA
rnacentral:rRNA from 1 species